UACGAAGGGGGCUAGCGUUGCUCGGAAUCACUGGGCGUAAAGCGCACGUAGGCGGCUUUCUAAGUCAGGGGUGAAAUCCUGGAGCUCAACUCCAGAACUGCCUUUGAUACUGGGAGCUCGAGUCCGGAAGAGGUAAGUGGAACUCCGAGUGUAGAGGUGAAAUUCGUAGAUAUUCGGAAGAACACCAGUGGCGAAGGCGGCUUACUGGUCCGGUACUGACGCUGAGGUGCGAAAGCGUGGGGAGCAAACAGG
rnacentral:rRNA from 1 species